CCUACGGGAGGCAGCAGUAAGGAAUAUUGGUCAAUGGACGAAAGUCUGAACCAGCCAUGCCGCGUGAAGGAUGAAGGCCCUCUGGGUUGUAAACUUCUUUUAUCUGGGACGAAAAAAGGGAAUUCUUUCUCACUUGACGGUACCAGAGGAAUAAGCACCGGCUAACUCCGUGCCAGCAGCCGCGGUAAUACGGAGGGUGCAAGCGUUAUCCGGAUUUACUGGGUUUAAAGGGAGCGUAGGUGGGCAGGUAAGUCAGUGGUGAAAUCUCCGGGCUUAACCCGGAAACUGCCAUUGAUACUAUCUGUCUUGAAUAUUCUGGAGGUAAGCGGAAUAUGUCAUGUAGCGGUGAAAUGCUUAGAUAUGACAUAGAACACCAAUUGCGAAGGCAGCUUACUACGGGAUUAUUGACACUGAGGCUCGAAAGCGUGGGGAUCAAACAGGAUUAGAUACCCUGGUAGUCCACGCCCUAAACGAUGGAUACUCGACAUCAGCGAUACACUGUUGGUGUCUGAGCGAAAAGCAUUAAGUAUCCCACCUGGGAAGUACGAUCGCAAAGAUUGAAACUUAAAAUGAAUUGACGG
rnacentral:rRNA from 1 species